rnacentral:rRNA from 1 species
UACGGAGGGUGCAAGCGUUGCUCGGAAUUACUGGGCGUAAAGAGCUCGUAGGUGGUUUGUCGCGUUGUUCGUGAAAACUCACAGCUCAACUGUGGGCGUGCGGGCGAUACGGGCAGACUGGAGUACUGCAGGGGAGACUGGAAUUCCUGGUGUAGCGGUGAAAUGCGCAGAUAUCAGGAGGAACACCGGUGGCGAAGGCGGGUCUCUGGGCCGAUACUGACGCUGGAGGAGCGAAAGCGUGGGGGAGCGAACAGG